GGAUGGCUCAGUCAGUAGAGCAUGAGGCUCUGAAUCUCAAGGUCCUGGGUUCGAGCCCCAUGUUGGGGGGAAAUA